GGGGAAGGCCUGGGGUUCCAGGAAGGACUUUGCAACCCCACUGCGGAGUCAGAUCCUCCAGGUCUCCUCCCAGAGCGGCUGCCUGGUAACUUUCCCAGGGUGUCCUUCAGGGAGCAUCUCCUCUUCCAUGUGGCUGGAUUCUUCUGAUAGGAGGCUGCCUUGUAAUUUCGCACUGACAGGACAGUUGGGCCUCAGACAGAGCCUGGGGACUUGGCUGCUUGGAACCAGAACCUGGCCCUUCAGAGGAGCUGCAGAAUUUCAACAGAGGAGAGACUUGGGAGAGGAGGGGGACAGAGCCUGCUUCAAAUGGAAUGGAGUGUGUCCAUCUCUAGCACAUCAUGCUCACUGAAUGUCUGGGGGAGACGGUUGAGGUGGAGCUGAAGGCAGUCGGGGGAGACCUGUGAAGACCUUCUCUGAAGAAGGAGGGUAAAUGCCACAUGAUCUUUGGUGCCUGUUGGUAUCUGGUCCCUUCCCCACUAAUUCUAGUCUUUCUAACUCCUACCCAGGUGUUAGGUGAUCAUGUAUGAAGCAGUGACUUCUUGGGAUUAUUUAUCUUUUACUUUGGAUGUCUAAUCAGAAUAAAGCACUCAUCUUAAAGGCA
rnacentral:lncRNA from 13 species